AUUUUCGACACUUGUCUGGCUCUGCUUAUAUUGGAUGUGCCACCAUCGCCCCUAGCAACGCCUAGCAAUUCCAGCAUGAAUGUUCCUGCAAACCUGCCAGGAACCGCACGGCCUCGAGGGUGAAAGGGCGACCUGUCACUUCCAGAAUCUCAAGUUUCUCCGGAGCUAAGGCCACCGUAUCGUUUCUAUUCAAGUUACGUGAAUGUUCAGGCUCUCUAGUUCAUUUAAAACGUGCUCAUCCAUCCAAUGCAGGGUUGGAAUUGGCCAGGAGGGAGGGCGGGCGGAGAGAGAGCAUGUUGAUGCUUUGUUCCGGAAAUUCGCUAAAGCAAUCCCUUUGCUUCCUUCAGGAAAAAUAGAUGACUGGGACCAAAAUUCUGUGGUCGUGACGGCCGUGGGGGUUGAUUCAUGUAAUUAUCAAAGGAUGGCGGGACCUGGGAAAUAUAUACAACA
rnacentral:sRNA from 1 species